rnacentral:rRNA from 1 species
CAAUAGCGUAUAUUUAAGUUGCUGCAGUUAAAAAGCUCGUAGUUGGAUUUCGGGUGGGAAUGGCCGGUCCGCCGUUUCGGUGUGCACUUGCUACGCCCACCUUGCUGCCGGGGACGUGCUCUUGAGUUCACGCUCGGGACACGGAGUCGGCGAGGUUACUUUGAGUAAAUUAGAGUGUUCAAAGCAGGCCUACGCUCUGAAUACAUUAGCAUGGAAUAACACGAUAGGACUCUGGCCUAUCUUGUUGGUCUGUAGGACCGGAGUAAUGAUUAAGAGGGACAGUCGAGGGCAUUCGUAUUUCAUUGUCAGAGGUGAAAUUCUUGGAUUUAUGAAAGACGAACUACUGCGAAAGCAUUUGCCAAGGAUGUUUUCAUUAA